CACAGGUGGAGAUCGCUUCGUGCCUCAACACAAUGACACGGAAUUCCAUUACAUUUGACAGCAGGUGCCAAGAGCCUGAGAUCGGGCAGCAGGUACAGGACAAUAAGGCUCAGGUCAUUUAUAAAAAUCGCAAAGAGUAAGGAUCCCAGAACAGAUCCCUGCGGCACUCCACUGGUGACUGACCACCAUGCAGAGUAUGACCCGUCUACAACCACUCUUUGCCUUCUGUGGGCAAGCCAGUUCUGGAUCCACAAAGCAAGGUCCCCUUGGAUCCCAUGCCUCCUUACUUUUUCAAUAAGCCUUGCAUGGGGUACCUUAUCAAGUGCCUUGCUGAAAUCCAUAUACACUACAUCUACUGCUCUUCCACCUUGUAACAGAGAUGGAGAUGGAGUUAUGUUGAAGCACUUCAGUCCUUCAAUGCACUUGGGAAAUACUUGAGAUGUUCAAUUAAGAAUUUUCAAAGUGGGCAGUUCAACAUUCCCUUUAAAGUGAUUUAUGCGUAUUACCCAGAGAACUUUAUUUUGAAAUUAACUCUGCUAUGGACUGUCUGAAGCCCGCUGUUAAAGGAAGAGGGUAGAGCAUGGAGCUAGCAACUUAAUUCCGUUAAAAACCCAGUGCUACGGAAGAGACAACAGAAGAUCCAAAGACCUCGUCCCUGGGAGAGAAAGGAUGUACCAAGAAUAUGGGCUACACCUAGGGACAACUUUAAAGAAAGGCUUGGGACCGAGGACUCUGGCGGAAGAUACAAAAGCCAGGCUCAAGGAUAGCUUCUACCCCAUUGUUCUCAGACUCCCUGAGCCAUUCCCCUUGUACAGAAAGAUCAACUCAUGACCUCACAAUCUAUCUCGUGAUGAUCUUUGCACCUUAUUGUCUGCCUGCACUGCCCUUCCUCUGUCACGGUAACCCUUCAUUCUGUAUUGUUAUUGUUUUCCCUUGUUCUCCAAGCCACGUCUAUUGUCAUUUAACUAUCUACAUAAUGUACAUAACCAUAUAAAGUGUAUAGAAACAAGACAAUUCUUCUCUGAACCAGGGUGUAAAGCACAGUGGUGCACAUGUCACACAUAACACGCCAUAACUUAUGAAGAUAAGGAUAAAAUCUACAGGUGAAUCACACGUAAGCAACAAACUAAAGUACAUUAUCAGGUAUUGUAAGAUUAACCAGUGACACUUUGAAUACGAUAGGGCUGGGAGUUCAGAAACUUAAUUAAUAUCCUGGGGGGGGAAGCUGUUUCUCAUCCUGACUGUUCUUAUUUUUAUGCAUUGUAGUCUCCUGCCAAUGGUAGGAAGUCAAAGAGGGUGCUGGAUGGAUGGGUGGGAUCCUUGAUAAUACCAAGGACCCUGCGUAUGCAGUGCUCCUGAUAAAUGUCUUGGUGGAUGGUAGGGAGACCCCUAUGAUCCUCUCAACUGUUCUCACAAUCCUUUGUAGGAACUUCAGGUCCGAUGCUCAACUGCUCCCAUACCAGAUGGAGAGGCAACUUGUCAGGAUGUUCUCAAUGGUGCUCCUGUAAUAUGCAGUUAAGAUGAGGGGGUGGGAGCCUUGAUUGCCUCAAUUUUCUUCGGAAGUGGAGGUACUGCUGUGGCUUCUUGUUCAGGGAGAUGAUAUUAAGGGACCAGGUGAGGUCAUCCUUGAUGUGAACUCCCAGGAACUUGGUACACUUAACUGUUGUGUGCACAGUCUCUCCCACCUCCACCACUGAAGCUUGUAACUUCUCCAGAGCUGUCAUAGGUCUUUUGGUGGCCUCCCCCACUAGUCUCCUUCUUGCACAGUCACUCAGUUUUUGAGGAUGGCCUCCCCUGGGCAGAUUGACUGCCACGCCAUAUUUUUUUCAUUUCUUGAUGAUUGAUUUACUAUCAAAGGGAUAUUCAGACUGUUGGACAUUUUCUUGUAUCCAUCUCCUGACUUGUGCUUUUCAAUAACCUUUUCGCGGAGUUGCUUGGAGUGUUCUCUUAUCUUCAUGAUGCAGUUUUUGCCAAGAUACUGACUCACCAGCAGUUGGACCUUCCAGAUACAGGUGUAUUUUUACUACAAUCAGUUGAAACACCUUGUCUGCACACAAUCUCCAAAAACGGAUCUCCAGUUAACUAACUGUGCGACUUCUAAAACCAAUUGGCUGCACCAGUGAUAAUUUGGUGUGUCAUAUUAAAGGGGUGUGAAUACUUAUGCAAUCAAUUAUUUUGUGUUUUAUAUUUGUAAUUAAUUUAGAUCACUUUGUAGAGAUCUGUUUUCACUUUGACCUGAAAGAGUCUUUUUCUGUAGAUCAGUGUCAGAAAAAUACAAAUUAAAUCCACUGUGAAUCAAUGUUGUAAAGCAAUAAAGCAUGAAGACUUCCAGGGGGAGGGAGGAUACUUUUAUAGGCACUGUAUAUAAUUUCUGCAAUUCACCUUUCUUUUCUAUUAUUACGUAUUGUAAUAUGCU